AUUGAACGCUGGCGGCAGGCUUAACACAUGCAAGUCGAGCGAGCGGCGGACGGGUGAGUAAUGUCUGGGAAACUGCGUGAUGGAGGGGGAUAACUCCUGAAAACGGUAGCUAAUACCGCAUACCAUGAGCGGUGCCCGGAGGGGAUUAGCUAGGAGGUGGGGAAAUGGCUCACCUAGGCGACGAUCCCUAGCUGGUCUGGGAGGAUGCCCAGCUACACUGGAACUGAGACACGGUCCAGACGCCUACGGGAGGCAGCAGUGGGGAAUAUUGCACAAUGGGCGCAAGCCUGAUGCAGCCAUGCCGCGUGUGUGAAGAAGGCCUUCGGGUUGUAAAGCACUUUCAGCGAGGAGGCGUUACUCGCAGAAGAAGCACCGGCUAACUCCGUGCCAGCAGCCGCGGUAAUAC
rnacentral:rRNA from 1 species